UGUCUUGUUGCUGUGAACGAGAUAUUUUAAGGAGGCUGGAGAGCAGAGAGCGGCUCACCCCGGAGGAGCUCAGAGGUUGGCUGUGUCUGCAGGAACCGAGGAAAGCAACAGACUUCACACCGAGCUGGAGCGUCGUUGAGUCGGUGGGAGGACGGUAGAUGUCGCGCCAAGGAGCGGAGGAAAACCUCCGGCUUUAACUGGGAUUUACUGACCCGCUGCUGCUGCUGGACAGAAUUAUUUAUAGGAGCCUGAAGGCGAUGUGGAGGCUCAGAUCAACUCAGACAUACUGAUUUAAACUCCAGUCAGAGAGCUGAGUGCCGGCUGUGGAACCAUCAGCAGCAGUUGCUCCUUCCCUGUGAGAGAGAACAAACCAUUCAACAACGUCGAAAGUUGCUUACUUCAAGAGGAAAUAUGCGGAGGAGGAGGAUUUACACGGAGGCCUACAUGGAUAUUUUCAAAAACACCUGAUACUGCAGGAGGACCGGGGCUGCAUCCUGAAGCUGUCCCUGGAGAAGUUGAGGUUUCUUGAGGACCCGGAGGCCUACCUGCGGCGCUCCGUCCUCAUCAACAACCUGUUGAGGAAGAUCCACCAUGAGGAGGAGGAGCUGGAGGCUGAUGAGGAGGAAGAAGAUGAAGAAGAUGAUGAUAACAUAGAAAUGGAAGAAGAGGAAGAAGAAGAGGAAGAAGGUGGCAUCGUGGGGGAGAGGGGGCAGGGGCGGCUGUUGUACCCUGACAGAAAGAGGGUGAAGGUGCUUGUGAUGGACUGCUGUUCUCCUGCGUUUGGCCUGGAGGAGCUGCAGCAUUACCGACUGGUGCCCUGUUACCCAUCAGCUGGAUACCUGUACAGCCUUGGCACCUGCCCAGGCCUCGCCCCCAACCAGGUCCUCCUGUACAAUCUUGACGACAAUGGGUGACUGUCCGGUCUUCAGUGUCAUGCCUCUGUUAACAGCUGGGGAAUAAACAUCUGCACAUGUUACUGGCAUGCAGACGUGUACUGUGUCCCUCGUUUUUCACUUAUUCUGAGGGACAGGUGUCGUGGGGUCUGCUUUAUUUGUUGCCAGGAUGUAACCUCCACUUGCUGAGAUUCAGCGGUGGAAUGAGAGACCUAAAAAGCCCUGAUUCUUCUUCCGGAUCAACAGGGUCUUUAAUGUUGAUGUCAAAUGCAAACUGUUGCAGCGUCACUGCCAUUUAUUAUAAUUUUGAGAGACCAGAAGCAGGCAGGAUUUUUUGCUGUUGAUGUUGUGUUAUUGAUUUUUAUUGUUUUUGUUGCUCAUGUGAAUCGUGAGCAUAUUCAGGGAUUUACAGACUGCAGGCUACUUUUGAUGCACCUUGGCUUGCUUGGAGAAUUUUUGCUGAUAAGCUUCUGUUAUCUUUUUAUGCUAUUGUGUGAUUUAUGAAAUAUUAUGAGUAAUAUUCCCUGGGCUGUGUGAAUUGUCAAGCUAUCUGGAGAUCUUACCUUCUCUGAGGGUUAUUAACUGCCUGUGGAAAGACUGUUUCUCCCCCUCUGUAUUUGACGUCCUGUUUUCUUAUAUGCUGUCUGUUAUUUUCUUUUUGCAUCACGUUGCUGCCCUCUGCUGGUGAAUAAAUGAAUCUAUGGUUAAAACCUUA